rnacentral:rRNA from 1 species
AGAGUUUGAUCCUGGCUCAGGAUGAACGCUGGCGGCGUGCCUAAUACAUGCAAGUCGAACGCACUGUGGUUCAACUGAUUUGAAGAGCUUGCUCUGAUAUGACGAUGAACAUUGCAGUGAGUGGCGAACGGGUGAGUAACACGUGGGAAACCUACCUCUUAGCGGGGGAUAACAUCUGGAAACAGAUGCUAAUACCGCAUAACACUAGCAACCGCAUGGUUGCUACUUGAAAGAUGGUUCUGCUAUCACUAAGAGAUGGUCCCGCGGCGCAUUAGUUAGUUGGUGAGGUAAUGGCUCACCAAGACGAUGAUGCGUAGCCGAGUUGACAGACUGAUCGGCCACAGUGGGACUGAGACACGGCUCAUACUCCUACGGGAGGCAACAGUAGGGAAUCUUCCACAAUGGACGAAAGUCUGAUGGAGCAACGCCCUGUGUGUGAUGA